rnacentral:rRNA from 1 species
CGUUCCCGGGUCUUGUACACACCGCCCGUCACACCAUGGGAGCGUGUUUUACCAGAAGUAGGUAGCUUAACCGUAAGGAGGGCGCUUACCACGGUAGGAUUCGUGACUGGGGUG